rnacentral:rRNA from 1 species
GACGAACGCUGGCGGCGUGCCUAAUACAUGCAAGUCGAACGCAUUUUCUUUCACCGUAGCUUGCUACACCGAAAGAAAAUGAGUGGCGAACGGGUGAGUAACACGUGGGUAACCUGCCCAUCAGCGGGGGAUAACACUUGGAAACAGGUGCUAAUACCGCAUAAUUCCAUUUUCCGCAUGGUAAAUGGAUGAAAGGCGCUUUUGCGUCACUGAUGGAUGGACCCGCGGUGCAUUAGCUAGUUGGUGGGGUAACGGCCUACCAAGGCUGCGAUGCAUAGCCGACCUGAGAGGGUGAUCGGCCACACUGGGACUGAGACACGGCCCAGACUCCUACGGGAGGCAGCAGUAGGGAAUCUUCGGCAAUGGACGCAGGUCUGACCGAGCAACGCCGCGUGAUUGAAGAAGGUUUUCGGAUCGUAAAACUCUGUUGUUAGAGAAGAACAAGGAUGAGAGUGGAAAGUUCAUCCCUUGACGGUAUCUAACCAGAAAGCCACGGCUAACUACGUG